rfam:Ichthyophthirius multifiliis unplaced genomic scaffold scaff_1120509250981, whole genome shotgun sequence.
GGGUGUCUAGCUCAGAUGGUAGAGCGCCUGAUUCGCAUUCAGGAGGCGCGGGGUUCGAUGCCCCGGUCAUCCA